UGGGGAAUUUUGGACAAUGGGCGAAAGCCUGAUCCAGCAAUGCCGCGUGUGUGAAGAAGGCCUUCGGGUUGUAAAGCACUUUUGUCCGGAAAGAAAUCCUUGGCUCUAAUACAGUCGGGGGAUGACGGUACCGGAAGAAUAAGCACCGGCUAACUACGUGCCAGCAGCCGCGGUAAUACGUAGGGUGCAAGCGUUAAUCGGAAUUACUGGGCGUAAAGCGUGCGCAGGCGGUUUGCUAAGACCGAUGUGAAAUCCCCGGGCUCAACCUGGAACUGCAUUGGUGACUGGCAGGCUAGAGUAUGGCAGAGGGGGGUAGAAUUCCACGUGUAGCAGUGAAAUGCGUAGAGAUGUGGAGGAAUACCGAUGGCGAAGGCAGCCCCCUGGGCCAAAUACUGACGCUCAUGCACGAAAGCGUGGGGAGCAAACAGGAUUAGAUACCCUGGUAGUCCACGCCCUAAACGAUGUCAACUGUUGUGGGGAUUCAUUUCCUAGUAACGUAGCUAACGCGUGAAGUUGACCGCCUGGGGAGUACGGUCGCAAGAUUAAAACUCAAGGAAUUGAC
rnacentral:rRNA from 1 species